AUUGAACGCUGGCGGCAUGCUUUACACAUGCAAGUCGAACGGUAACAGGGAGCUUGCUCCGCUGACGAGUGGCGAACGGGUGAGUAAUAUAUCGGAACGUACCCAGAAGUGGGGGAUAACGUAGCGAAAGUUACGCUAAUACCGCAUACGAUCCACGGAUGAAAGUAGGGGACCUUCGGGCCUUAUGCUUUUGGAGCGGCCGAUAUCUGAUUAGCUAGUUGGUGAGGUAAAGGCUCACCAAGGCGACGAUCAGUAGCUGGUCUGAGAGGACGACCAGCCACACUGGAACUGAGACACGGUCCAGACUCCUACGGGAGGCAGCAGUGGGGAAUUUUGGACAAUGGGCGCAAGCCUGAUCCAGCAAUGCCGCGUGAGUGAAGAAGGCCUUCGGGUUGUAAAGCUCUUUUGUCAGGGUAAGAAACGGCUGUGGCUAAUAUCCACGGCUAAUGACGGUACCUGAAGAAUAAGCACCGGCUAACUACGUGCCAGCC
rnacentral:rRNA from 1 species